rnacentral:rRNA from 1 species
ACAACUUUCAGCAACGGAUCUCUUGGCUCUCGCAUCGAUGAAGAACGCAGCGAAAUGCGAUAAGUAGUGUGAAUUGCAGAAUUCAGUGAAUCAUCGAAUCUUUGAACGCACCUUGCGCCCUUUGGCUAUUCCGAAGGGCAUGCCUGUUUGAGUAUCA